rnacentral:rRNA from 1 species
CCUACGGGGGGCAGCAGUGGGGAAUAUUGGGCAAUGGAGGAAACUCUGACCCAGCAACGCCGCGUGAAUGAUGAAGGUUUUCGGAUUGUAAAGUUCUGUGAUGUGGGAUGAACACAAUGACGGUACCACAAGAGGAAGCCACUGCUAACUACGUGCCAGCAGCCGCGAUAAUACGUAGGUGGCAAGCGUUCUCCGGAAUGACUGGGCGUAAAGGGAGCGUAGGUGGUUGAGUAAGUUGGAGGUGAAAGCCCGGGGCUCAACCCCGGCGCUACAUUUAAAACUGUUAGACUAGAGUGCAGGAGGGGUAAGCGGAAUUCCUAGUGUAGCGGUGAAAUGCGUAGAUAUUAGGAGGAACACCAGAGGCGAAGGCGACUUACUGGACUGUAACUGACACUGAGGCUCGAAAGCGUGGGGAGCAAACAGGAUUAGAUACCCCUGUAGUC